AGCAGCUUGCUGCUUCGCUGACGAGUGGCGGACGGGUGAGUAAUGUCUGGGAAACUGCCUGAUGGAGGGGGAUAACUACUGGAAACGGUGGCUAAUACCGCAUAACGUCGCAAGACCAAAGAGGGGGACCUUCGGGCCUCUUGCCAUCAGAUGUGCCCAGAUGGGAUUAGCUAGUUGGUGAGGUAACGGCUCACCAAGGCGACGAUCCCUAGCUGGUCUGAGAGGAUGACCAGCCACACUGGAACUGAGACACGGUCCAGACUCCUACGGGAGGCAGCAGUGGGGAAUAUUGCACAAUGGGCGCAAGCCUGAUGCAGCCAUGCCGCGUGUAUGAAGAAGGCCUUCGGGUUGUAAAGUACUUUCAGCGGGGAGGAAGGUGUUGUGGUUAAUAACCGCAGCAAUUGACGUUACCCGCAGAAGAAGCACCGGCUAACUCCGUGCCAGCAGCCGCGGUAAUACGGAGGGUGCAAGCGUUAAUCGGAAUUACUGGGCGUAAAGCGCACGCAGGCGGUCUGUCAAGUCGGAUGUGAAAUCCCCGGGCUCAACCUGGGAACUGCAUUCGAAACUGGCAGGCUUGAGUCUUGUAGAGGGGGGUAGAAUUCCAGGUGUAGCGGUGAAAUGCGUAGAGAUCUGGAGGAAUACCGGUGGCGAAGGCGGCCCCCUGGACAAAGACUGACGCUCAGGUGCGAAAGCGUGGGGAGCAAACAGGAUUAGGUACCCUGGUAGUCCACGCCGUANACGAUGUCUACUUGGAGGUUGUGCCCUUGA
rnacentral:rRNA from 1 species